UUCCUGGUGGUCCAGUGGCUUGGACUCUGCACUCCCAAUGCAGAAGGCCUAGGUUCCAUCCUUGGUCAGGGAA
rnacentral:tRNA from 1 species